rnacentral:rRNA from 1 species
UACGUAGGGUGCAAGCGUUGUCCGGAAUUAUUGGGCGUAAAGAGCUUGUAGGCGGUUUGUCGCGUCUGCUGUGAAAUUUCGGGGCUCAACCCCGAACUUGCAGUGGGUACGGGCAGACUAGAGUGUGGUAGGGGAGACUGGAAUUCCUGGUGUAGCGGUGAAAUGCGCAGAUAUCAGGAGGAACACCGAUGGCGAAGGCAGGUCUCUGGGCCAUAACUGACGCUGAGGAGCGAAAGCCAGGGGAGGCAAACGGG